AUUGAACGCUGGCGGCAUGCUUUACACAUGCAAGUCGAACGGCAGCACGGGCUUCGGCCUGGUGGCGAGUGGCGAACGGGUGAGUAAUGCAUCGGAACGUGCCCAUGUCGUGGGGGAUAACGUAGCGAAAGCUACGCUAAUACCGCAUACGCCCUGAGGGGGAAAGCGGGGGAUUCUUCGGAACCUCGCGCGAUUGGAGCGGCCGAUGGCGGAUUAGCUAGUAGGGGAGGUAAAGGCUCACCUAGGCGACGAUCCGUAGCGGGUCUGAGAGGAUGAUCCGCCACACUGGGACUGAGACACGGCCCAGACUCCUACGGGAGGCAGCAGUGGGGAAUUUUGGACAAUGGGGGCAACCCUGAUCCAGCCAUGCUGCGUGAGUGAAGAAGGCCUUCGGGUUGUAAAGCUCUUUCGGCCGGGAAGAAAUCGGCGACUCUAACAUAGUCGCUGGAUGACGGUACCGGACUAAGAAGCACCGGCUAACUACGUGCCAGCAGCCGCCGUAA
rnacentral:rRNA from 1 species